rnacentral:rRNA from 1 species
GACGAACGCUGGCGGCGUGCUUAACACAUGCGAGUCGAACGGAAAGGCCCUGCUUGCAGGGUACUCGAGUGGCGAACGGGUGAGUAACACGUGGGUGAUCUGCCCUGCACUUCGGGAUAAGCCUGGGAAACUGGGUCUAAUACCGGAUAGGAGCCAUUUUUAGUGUGAUGGUUGGAAAGUUUUUUCGGUGUAGGAUGAGCUCGCGGCCUAUCAGCUUGUUGGUGGGGUAAUGGCCUACCAAGGCGGCGACGGGUAGCCGGCCUGAGAGGGUGGACGGCCACAUUGGGACUGAGAUACGGCCCAGACUCCUACGGGAGGCAGCAGUGGGGAAUAUUGCACAAGGGGCGCAAGCCUGAUGCAGCGACGCCGCAUGGGGGAGGACGGCCUUCGGAUUGUAAACUCCUUUCGCUAGGGACGAAGCUUUUUGUGACGGUACCUAGAGAAGAAGCACCGGCUAACUACGUG